rnacentral:lncRNA from 1 species
UGAGAUGUCGAAAACUUUAUUCACGCUUUCAGAAAGGGUAACCACGCAAUAAAACUAGGUAGGACAAAUCGUGAUCAACCAUUUUGAAUGUAUCAUGAUGAAAAGCAAAUAAAAACACAACUACAUGUACAUUUAAAAAAAUUUCUUGUAUUUACAUUUAGUCAAAUACCGUUAAUCAAAAUAAAUGUCAGUACCCCACAGCAGUAGUAGACAUUAGGAAGAACAGCCUCAUCAGCUCAAACCACUCUUCUAGUUGAUGUCAGUAGUACUGCAAGUCUUCACUCAAUCCUAACAGUCAUUCAAAAGCUGAUCCACUCUUCCAUACAAGAUUAAUUGAUUAGGAACAAAUGACUGUACACAUGUUAAAUGUUGUGCUCUACGAUAACCUAGGAAAUUGCAAAUUAGAUAACGGCAAACUACUAGGUAUGAGAAUUCAUAAAGAAAUUCAAGGUAUAUUUCUAUGACAGAGGGUAGUUUCUAUUUGAGUUGUACAUUUCAAAAAGGUUUUCCGCAAUGUAGGUAGGAAUCAUAUUACAAACGUGGUAUUAAAUCUAGGUAGUUCUAAACUCUUCAACUGAGUUUGAUAUGCAGGGAAGUCAUUUAUCAAAAACGUACAAAGUCCCUUGCCGGUGAUCCUCUUUAUGCAUGUAAAAACUAAGUUGGUCGAAUUCAAGUCAGCAGUAGGUUGGUAUCACAAAACAUUAUGCGAGUCCCUCGUAGGCACGAACUCAGAAGGAAGAGGUAAAUUACUGAUAAUGAAUGACUAUCAAUCAAUCUUGUUAUUGUACCAAUUGGGAACAGAGUGGUGGAAGGGACUUUUAAUAACUUAAUUUCUUUAAAAUGACUCCAUUUUAUGGACAUAAGCCUUUCAAUUCAAUCAAUAGAUCACACAUUAACACAGUUUGAUCACCCAACAGAGGCUAAUAUUAGUAAACAACUGGUCCAAAUCCAGAUUGUACAGAGAGGCCUCUAGAGGAGAGCCUGGUCAUUACAAGCUUAUACAUAUGAGAAAUGCCACAUUCUGGCUUCACCCCAAACACCACCCUAUCCCCUAUACCAGGGCUAUUCAACUCUCCCUACGAGGUCCAGAGCCUGCUAGUUUUCUGUUCUACCUGACAAUUAAAUUGCACACACCUGUUGUUCCAGGUCUAAAAUCAGUCCCAGAUUAGAAGGGACCAUGAACAAAACGCAGUGGAACUGGCUUUGAGGUCCAGAGUUUAGUUUGAGAAACCUAUAUAGCGCACUACCUUUGGCUAGAGACCUAGUAGUGUGUUCUAUAGUCAUAGGUGUCAUUUCAGACUUGGCUCACUGUGCCUCUGACUUAUCAGCAGAAUUAAAUAAUACACAUUAUUAAUGUGUUACGUGAGGUCUGACUGAGAAUAGUUGACUGGUCCCAGAUCUGUUGGUUCAACUCCUUUGACUAUCAUAGAGAUACAGAUUUGAGCCCAGAUUACUGAGAGAACUGAGGUUAUCCUCUUCCAUAGACUGAGGAUUAUUAGUUCAGACAUCUACUGUUCAAGUGGUUUGGAGGAGUGUGGAGUGGCUUCGUAACAUUUUACAUUAACACAAUGAGAAGUUGAAUGUUAAAUGCAUUAAUAAAGUGCAUAAUGGUUUGGUACUGAAACAUUAUGGUACUUAAUUGUUUUUAAUGUCUAAAAAAACACUAUUUUUGUCAGUAGACACAUUUUCCCCCUCCAUUGCCCAUCUGGCAUAUACUCCCAACACAAUGGUGAGCGAACACAGAAAUACAUGACAUCUACAGUGGGGUCUUCAUCGGUAGACGGGUGGUGGAGAGAAAAACAGUGAUCCAUCUACGGCUGGGGUGGCCAACUCUCCUCCCGGAGAGCUACUGGGUGCAAACGCGUAUCCCUGCUCGAACAUACCUUCUUCAACUGACCAGCCGUGUUAGAGAAGGGCUGGAGCACAAGCCUAAACAACCAGUAGUUCUGCCAGAUUUCUGAUGUAAGACUAGCUUCCAAGGACCUUCUCCAGGGCCGGCUCAGGUGAGGUAGAGCAAGGGGGGUUACUCUGGGGGUAUUGGGGCAUUAGACACCUUGGGCUGCGCCCCCCUCAGAGUGGUGGUGUUACCUCCACAGUCUACAUACUGGUACAUCUCCUGAGUGACCUGCUCCAUGUGGCCAAAGUACAUCGUCGUCACCGUCACC